UACGUAGGGUGCAAGCGUUAAUCGGAAUUACUGGGCGUAAAGCGUGCGCAGGCGGUGAUGUAAGACAGAUGUGAAAUCCCCGGGCUCAACCUGGGAACUGCAUUUGUGACUGCAUCGCUGGAGUGCGGCAGAGGGGGAUGGAAUUCCGCGUGUAGCAGUGAAAUGCGUAGAUAUGCGGAGGAACACCGAUGGCGAAGGCAAUCCCCUGGGCCUGCACUGACGCU
rnacentral:rRNA from 1 species